AUGGGUCACAGAGGGUUGAUGCUGGCAGUUUGGCUGCAUGUGCUCGCUCUUCUGAUUUUAUUUACACCUGUGCACUUAAUUUUUUCAAAGGGAGGGUAGAACCUGCCUUUGGAGCUUUAUAAACCCCCUUGUAUUGGAACAGUGAAUGUUUAUCUGCCAUAAGGCAAAUUUUUAAUA
rnacentral:misc_RNA from 1 species